GGUUAAGCGACUAAGCGUACACGGUGGAUGCCCUGGCAGUCAGAGGCGAUGAAGGACGUGCUAAUCUGCGAAAAGCGUCGGUAAGGUGAUAUGAACCGUUAUAACCGGCGAUGUCCGAAUGGGGAAACCCAGUGUGAUUCGUCACACUAUCGUUAACUGAAUACAUAGGUUAACGAGGCGAACCGGGGGAACUGAAACAUCUAAGUACCCCGAGGAAAAGAAAUCAACCGAGAUUCCCACAGUAGCGGCGAGCGAACGGGGAGCAGCCCAGAGUCUGAAUCAGCUUGUGUGUUAGUGGAACGGUCUGGAAAGUCCGACGGUACAGGGUGAUAGUCCCGUACACCAAAAUGCACAGGCUGUGAACUCGAAGAGUAGGGCGGGACACGUGGUAUCCUGUCUGAAUAUGGGGGGACCAUCCUCCAAGGCUAAAUACUCCUGACUGACCGAUAGUGAACCAGUACCGUGAGGGAAAGGCGAAAAGAACCCCGGCGAGGGGAGUGAAAAAGAACCUGAAACCGUGUACGUACAAGCAGUGGGAGCACCUUCGGGUGUGACUGCGUACCUUUUGUAUAAUGGGUCAGCGACUUAUAUUCU
rnacentral:rRNA from 1 species